AGAAUGAACGCUGGCGGCGCGCCUAAUACAUGCAAGUCGAGCGAGAAGACGUAGCAAUACGUUUGUAAAGCGGCGAACGGGUGAGGAAUACAUGGGUAACCUACCCUCGAGUGGGGAAUAACUAGCCGAAAGGUUAGCUAAUACCGCGUACGCUUCUUGGACUUCGGUUCAGGGAGGAAAGCGAUGCCGAGGGUAUCGCGCUCUUGGAUGGGCUCAUGUCCUAUCAGCUUGUUGGUGAGGUAACGGCUCACCAAGGCUUCGACGGGUAGCUGGUCUGAGAGGACGAUCAGCCACACUGGCACUGCGACACGGGCCAGACUCCUACGGGAGGCAGCAGUAAGGAAUAUUGCGCAGUGGGCGAAAGCCUGACGCAGCGACGCCGCGUGGGGGAUGAAGGUCUUCGGAUUGUAAACCCCUUUCGGGAGGAAGAUGGAAUGGGUAACCCAGUUCGGACGGUACCUCCAGAAGCAGCCACGGCUAACUUCGUGCCAGCAGCCGCGGUAAUC
rnacentral:rRNA from 1 species